AACGAACGCUGGCGGCAUGCCUAACACAUGCAAGUCGAACGAGACCUCCGGGUCUAGUGGCGCACGGGUGCGUAACGCGUGGGAACCUGCCCUUAGGUUCGGAAUACCUCCCCGAAAGGGGUGCUAAUACCGGAUAAUGUCUUCGGACCAAAGAUUUAUCGCCUUUGGAUGGGCCCGCGUUGGAUUAGCGAGUUGGUAGGGUAAAAGCCUACCAAGGCGACGAUCCAUAGCUGGUCUGAGAGGAUGAUCAGCCACACUGGGACUGAGACACGGCCCAGACUCCUACGGGAGGCAGCAGUGGGGAAUAUUGGACAAUGGGCGAAAGCCUGAUCCAGCAAUGCCGCGUGAGUGAUGAAGGCCUUAGGGUUGUACAGCUCUUUUACCCGAGAUGAUAAUGACAGUACCGGGAGAAUAAGCUCCGGCUAACUCCGUG
rnacentral:rRNA from 1 species